rnacentral:tRNA from 1 species
AAGGGAGACCUAAUUCAGGUAGGAGACGAAAAAAAAGUAGUCCCAACCAAGAAUCAAUCCCAAAAGGUCGGAGCGAGGCGAAAUUGGCUUUCAAACUAGGUUCUGGGUUCACACAAGACCUGAAUCAGGAACAAGGGCUAUUAGCUCAGGUGGUUAGAGCGCACCCCUGAUAAGGGUGAGGUCCCUGGUUCGAGUCCAGGAUGGCCCACCUGCACAGGUGGCAAAAACAAGAGAAGCGAGGAAUCAGCACCUUAUCUUAUUUAUAUAUAUAUAGGAGAGAAUGCUGGCUCUGAGUAAAGAGUCCAGAGGAACCUUGAAAACUGCAUAGAGCUAGGUGAAAAAGCCAAAAAAGAAGACCGCCUCAA